UACAGAGGGGGCAAGCGUUGUUCGGAAUUACUGGGCGUAAAGCGUGCGCAGGCGGUUGUGUAAGGCAGAUGUGAAAUCCCCGGGCUCAACCUGGGAACUGCAUUUGUGACUGCACAGCUGGAGUGCGGCAGAGGGGGAUGGAAUUCCGCGUGUAGCAGUGAAAUGCGUAGAUAUGCGGAGGAACACCGAUGGCGAAGGCAAUCCCCUGGGCCUGCACUGACGCUCAUGCACGAAAGCGUGGGGAGCAAACAGG
rnacentral:rRNA from 1 species